AUCGAAUCCCGUUGGCGUUUCCGAGGUGAAGCAAAAGGAGGAAUGUUGUUGUAGGUGAGACUGCUACCGGAAUUGUUCAGCGAUGAAGGUUUCGGAUCCAAGCAAACAGGGGAGGAGGAUUGAUAGAAAGCCAACGCUCUUAGAUACUGUUCACACCACAGUUGGGUCUUAGAUCAGCAGCUGCAGAUACAAAAUCUCUUCCAUAUUUCUUCUCAAAGAUGUCCCUAAGUGCUACCAGUUCUGGAAUUUCCGAGCACCUUGGGGCUGCAAAAAUUAAACUAGAAAUCCCUUCUUUUAGAUCAGCUGGGCAUUCUCUGCAACAAAUUGGGUAACAAAUACGCAUCAGAUAAAUGAUCCUUGUAGCACAAGGUAAUGUAAUAAAAGCCAACACUUGCCUCUAGCUCCAUCUCAGAAUUGUGGAGCCUUUUUUUUUUUUCAAUGCGUUUCUUUUGUUGGGAAUUCUUUAAUUGACAGAGUGAGCAGGAGCUGUGGCGGUGAGCGAAAUUUUGGCAAUUUUUCUCAUACGAGGGAAUUUUAAAUUUGAACCAUCUGUGUUUAUGGUUUUGAAUCCAAUGGCUGUAAUUUUUGACAUAUUUUUUGUCCAUAUCAGUUUUGAUCAGGUCGAUCCUGAUCAUAGAAAGACUAUAUAUAUAUAUAUAUACAUAUUUGUAUAA